GUCAUCGGAUCCUCCGCGCUUGGUCUUCUGGUAUCAUAUUUAUUUAACCUCCUGGGAGAGCAUGAACGGGGACGGCCUCUCCCUGUUGGAAGGAGCAGACGCAUUACACGGUACCCCAGAUACAGAAUCAUUCUCAGACCCUGAGCCUGGCAACCCUAAUCCCAACACUUCCAACGGUUUAUCCAUAGUGGAUCCUCUGGAUUGUUCUAUGAAGUUAGCAUGAGACCAGUAGCCAGCCAGAUGCCUCUUCUGGGAAAUCUGCAAGCAGGACCGGAAUGGAACAACACUCU